UUUUCCAAGGUCUUAAGGCAAUGCUGAAAUGGAGGCAGCGGAAUUGCCUUCUGUGUUGAAGUCAAUGUAGACUAGGAAUGGCUCCUCCAGACGAGAUGACGACUUCUGCAUUGAGUAAGUCAAUGAAGCCAUUCAAGAAGUGAUCUUUUCUAGUGGAGGCAUUCCCAGACUGUUACCUGGUGGACACCUUGUCUGGCUGCUUCCAUACUUGUCUGGAGAGGGCUAGGGUAGGAAUUUCUGAGUUUGCUGAAUAUUAUGGCCUCAUUCUGUCACCCGGAACUUCCAAGAUCCAGACUUUCUUGCUAGGAUGUUGGAUCAGGUGAGGCAACCCCUUCAGCAGCCAGCCUGGGCAGCAGGGAGCUGCAUUUUGGUGUGGCUUGUUCCUCCCCAUGGUCCCAGGGGUCACUUCAUGCCUUGUCUCUGCUCACUCUGGUACCUGCCAGAGACAUUGGUAGAUGUACCCAUGCCUCCACCAAGCACAGAGCAUCUCGUUGCUUGUGUUGGGCUCGUUUUGGGGUGACGAGUAGGGAGGGUCACGCAGAGCAUGGCAUGAAGCUGGUCCUUCACCUCCUUCUGCAGGAGGGGUGAGGGAUGUUGGGAUGGCUUGGAACAUGGCACAGCUAAUAUUUCAGUGGGUGGGAUCCAGCCUGGAGUUCCUGUCAUGCCCCACAGCACUCCCUCCUUGUGCGGACGUCUCAAAAGGUGACGUUAGCUGAGGCUUGGGUUGAGCAAGACCAUCUCCAGGCUUCACUCAUCUCCUGGUGAGAUGCUCUUGGCCUCAACAGGAGGACAUGCUCCUCUCUUGUUUGUCUUCCUGGCUAUUGCAGUCCGACUUCAGCUCUUUUUAUAGGUCGGAAAGAAGUGCCUUGAGUUUCUGAGUCGUCUGGGAGGCCAAGCACACAGGGAGGAGUCGCAGCUAGAAAUAGGGCUGCUGCAUUCCAGUUUUAUUAUUUUUUUAGCUGAGAUGUCCAAGUUUGACGAGUCCCACUGCCGCAAGCGAUGAGCUGGGAAACAUGUCUUGCAUUUUUUCCACUCAGAUUGGGUCUUCUUUCUCCUUUGUCUUCUUCCCAGUGCCCUGACACCAGCCAUUGUACCUCCAUGAGAUGGCUUUCCCAAGGAAUGAGGUCUGGCACCCCAGCCUGUAUGUUCUGUAAC